UUACUGCUAUCGAGGUUCGACUAAGCCAUGCGAGUCGAAUGUAGCAAUACAUGGCGUACUGCUCAGUAACACGUGGACAACCUACCCUUGGGUCGGGGAUAAACCCGGGAAACUGGGUAUAAUACCCGAUAGUCCUCGAAUGCUGGAAUGCAUCGAGUUCUAAAACUCCGGUGCCCAAGGAUGGGUCUGCGGCCUAUCAGGUAGUAGUGGGUGUAGCGUACCUACUAGCCUACGACGGGUACGGGUUGUGAGAGCAAGAGCCCGGAGAUGGAUUCUGAGACACGAAUCCAGGCCCUACGGGGUGCAGCAGGCGCGAAAACUUUACAAUGCCGGCAACGGCGAUAAGGGAACCUCGAGUGCCAGGUUACAAAUCUGGCUGUCGUGAUGCCUAAAAAGCAUUGCAUAGCAAGGGCCGGGCAAGACCGGUGCCAGCCGCCGCGGUAACACCGGCGGCUCGAGUGGUAACCGUUAUUAUUGGGUCUAAAGGGUCUGUAGCCGGCCGGAUAAGUCUCUUGGG
rnacentral:rRNA from 1 species